CGCCUUCUCUUAUCAUAUCUCUUACUUUUAUUUUUAGAUAUAAAUGAGAACAAUAGCUAAUUAAAUAUUGCUAAAAAAGAAAAAAAAUAUUAAUUAAGUUACACAUUCAUAAAUCAUAUUGCUAAUUGAUAAUUUAGAAGGUCAUCCGUUAUCUAAAAUUAAAUUUUGAACUUUAAUUGGGGUGAUUAAUAUGGAGAAUUAAUAACAAAUGAAUAAGAGAAAUUGAUGGGAAGAGAAAUAGUUGAGUAAAAAAAAAAGAGAAUAGUAAGAUAAAUCAAAUGGUAAAUGAUCAUUUAGAAAGUCGCAUGGGCAUCUCUUUUUCUCCCCCUCACCCCACCUAAGCAGCACCUACAUCGCCCGCCUCCGCUCCACCGCCGACUCCCUCGCCUUUCACUCCCCCCACAAGAAGACCCUCUUCGAUCAACAUCUGAAGCCCCUCCUUCGAUCGCUCCCACUCCUCCCCCGACGAUCCCAAUCCUGAUUCUUAUUUGGCCUUUAUUUAUUACUUUUUAAAUUUCAUUUUAUAAUAUUUUACUUUAUUCUUUUUUUGUUUGCUCUGAUAUUGAUUUUACGUCAAUAGAUGAUUGCUCCAAAUUCUAUGUCCCAUAAAUAAAAACUAAUUUGCGAAGGGAAUAAUAUGUGAGUAUUAUGUAAAUUUCAAAUUUUGCAUAAUUUGGAGUUUUUUAUGAUUU
rnacentral:lncRNA from 1 species